AUUGCACCAUUUUGCUGGUAGCCAUCUUGAGUGAGGGUGGACCAGAGGAUGAGAGAGCUGUGGUAGGGCUACUGGAACGCUGUCCCUCAUUGUUUUAGCCUUCUGUGCUUCAUCUCGAGCUCAGAAGACUAGCAAAGAACCAAAAGUCUUAUAUAUUUCGAGACUAAAGAACCCAGGAACCCAAGAAGUAUCCUUGACCACAACAAAGAUGGCGAAAUCUGCCGGUUUCGUGCUAGAUUGAGGUUACGUAGAUCGGCGUGCUGCAAACCAGCUCUAGGCGGCUCUGGGAUCUUCAGCCUGUUAAACAAGAAAACGAAAAACCCCUUCCAGAAAACAUGGAUGCAUUUGAAAAAGUGAGAACAAAAUUAGAAACACAGCCACAAGAAGAAUAUGAAAUCAUCAAUGUGGAACAGACAAUGAUAAUUAUGAAGUUUUAUUCAAUUUGGAGGAACUUAAGUUAGACCAGCCCUUCAUUGAUUGCAUCAGAGUUGCUCCAGAUGAAAAAUAUGUGGCUGCCAAGAUAAGAACUGAAGAUUCUGAAGCAUCUACCUGUGUAA
rnacentral:sRNA from 1 species